AGGGCUGAGACUUUGUUUUGUUUACUGUUCUUUUCUCAAUGCCUAGCACAGUGCUUGGCAUAGACCAGGCAUUUAAUAUUUGUUGAAUAAGUGAAUGAAUGACUUUCCCCUCCAAACCAGUUCUCCUUAACUUGCUUGUUUCUCUUUGUCACAUCAUCAUUUUCUUAGUCACUGAACCUCAAAACUGGUGUAAACUUGGACUCUCACCUUCUCUUCUCCUUUCUAUAUUCAAUCAGUGGCCAAGAUCUGCUUAUUCUUCCACUUCAUUCACAUGGUCAAUAUCCUAGUUCACCACACACCUCAAACAUCACAACGACCUUCCAACUAGCCUCUGUCAUUCCUCUUUCUUCCUCUUCAAUCCAUCCCUAUCCUAUUGUUCUGUUUUUCUCUCC
rnacentral:lncRNA from 1 species